UACGUAGGGGGCAAGCGUUGUCCGGAUUUAUUGGGCGUAAAGAGCGUGUAGGCGGCGGCACAGGUCCGUUGUGAAAACUGGAGGCUCAACCUUCAGACGUCGAUGGAAACCGUGCGGCUAGAGUCCGGAAGAGGAGAGUGGAAUUCCUGGUGUAGCGGUGAAAUGCGCAGAUAUCAGGAAGAACACCCGUGGCGAAGGCGGCUCUCUGGGACGGUACUGACGCUGAGACGCGAAAGCGUGGGGAGCGAACAGG
rnacentral:rRNA from 1 species